AAUCGGCGUACAGCACAGGGGACGUGUCCCCGGAGCGGUGCCGAGGGAGGCAAGCCCCAGCAACAGCAUCCAUGAAGGGUGGAAAGCUGAAAAAUCACGCGUCGGGUGGAGUUUGGUAGGACGGUAACGUCUCGAAGAAGUCAGGCCCG
rnacentral:ncRNA from 1 species